rnacentral:rRNA from 1 species
GACGAACGCUGGCGGCGUGCUUAACACAUGCAAGUCGAACGCGCCUGUCCUCUGGGUUUCUGGGGGGUGGGUGAGUGGCGCACGGGUGAGUAACACGUGAGUAACCUGCCCCCUUCUUCGGGAUAACGGUCUGAAAGGGCUGCUAAUACCGGGUAUUCACUGGUCUCCGCAUGGGGUCUGGUGGAAAGGUUUUUUUCUGGUGGGGGAUGGGCUCGCGGCCUAUCAGCUUGUUGGUGGGGUGAUGGCCCACCAAGGCUUUGACGGGUAGCCGGCCUGAGAGGGUGACCGGUCACAUUGGGACUGAGAUACGGCCCAGACUCCUACGGGAGGCAGCAGUGGGGAAUAUUGCACAAUGGGCGCAAGCCUGAUGCAGCGACGCCGCGUGAGGGAUGGAGGCCUUCGGGUUGUGAACCUCUUUCGCCCGUGGUCAAGCCGCGACGUGGGUCGUGGUGAGGGUAGUGGGUAAAGAAGCGCCGGCUAACUACGUG